AUGCUCCAGAUACCAAGUUCAUCUACGUAAAGUUUACAGGAUCCACCUUUAUCAUAAGAAUAAAUAAGACUUUGGGACCGUAUCAGAUUUGCCUAAUUCUCAAAAGUCCUAAAAUAUUGGUGGCAAUAAUUGUAUGUUAACCUAAAGUCUUUUUAGUGUCUAGAAAAUACAACUUAGCUGGACAUGAGAUAUAUCCAUUUUGCACAGCCAGUGCCAUCUCACACAUUGCUCAUUCACCCGAUGUUUACAAGAUAUUGUUAAGCUCUCAUUCCCUAUCUGGCGAGCUGAACUGGAGAGGACUCUGGGGAUGAAGUCAGCUAAGCCAUUUUGCUUCACUCCUCUUUCCAUUUAACCUUGAAGUGGCUGAGACCAUCAGUCUCCUUCACAUUGGGGAAGGAAUAUAGCAGCAGCAGCAGUGGCGGCGGCAGCAGAAUAGAUAAAUUUGCCAGCAAGAGAGAAAACAAACAGGCAAAAAGCAAUGUUUCCUUACAUGUACUUCUAUCUGGGCUGUCACCAGAAGGUGUCACCUAGCUUUAGUGUGGGUCUUCCUGCUUCAAAUAGUCUGAUCAAGAAAGUCCUUCACAGGAUUCCACUACAACUAUUCCACAUACAACUGCAAGUCCGUGAUACAUUUUAGAAUAAGUGGCAAAAUCCCUGAGAAAAGCCUUUUAAAUAUGACAAUAUAAAUUAAUAGCACUUAAACACUGCUGUUAUCUCAGUGGAUGUUAAAUUACAUGAUUCUAUAUUCAUUCAUUAGGAUAAAUAUAUUUUAGAGUAAAAAAAAAAAGAAAAAGAGGAAAGAAAAUGAAAAUAUCUUAAUCAACAUGUUCUCAACCAAAUAAGACAGAAACACUCUUGUCAGUUAAAAUUCCCAUUUCUAUAACUGGUCAUAUGACCUCAGCUGAUGUCCAUAAUUACAUUCCUCUACUACUAGCUGAUAUUCAUAGCUACCUUUCUCUGCCUCCCAUUUUGAAUUUCCUCCACCCUCAGCAAGUACCUCAGCAAGUCUUGAUUCUUUACUUCGAGGAGUGACCCUGUCCUUUGUCAUCCUGCCUGGAUUGGAUUGCUGUCGUUUUCCAUUGAUUUUAAUUAUAGGAUACGCUGAUACCAAGAGACACCCUAA
rnacentral:lncRNA from 1 species